rnacentral:rRNA from 1 species
AUGGACCACAUGGGGUUUCGGGAGGUUUCGAGAGGACAAUCCCCGCGAGGGCCAGAAACCCCACAAAAACUCGACGGCCCGUUUGGACCCUCGUCGAGGGGCUCGCGGAAGCACAUCCCCGAGCGCAGCGCACGCCUCAUCCACCCCGCCGCCACCAGCUUCUCCACGCGCCACCGUCCGCAGCCUCCUCCACGCCGGCCUGAGUGCCUCCCUUCCUUUUCUCUGACCUCGACCGAGCAUGCCGGUGUUGGAGUCAUGGGCGAGGCGUGCGCUGCGCUCGGGGCCGGGCGGCCGGACGCGGCCGUGCGGUCUCUACGGGUUGCGUUAGCCAGCUGCUCGCCGGAGAAAGCCGCGGGGGUCGCCAAUCUCGAUGUUGGCCAUCACGUCCGCACAGCUGCACAGGAGCAGCACCAGGCUCAGAAGCAGAGUAGCAGGAAAUGA